AGCACGCGAUUCUUUCAGUACAGGCUAUUGUCGCCUUACGCUCUACUGUCAGACGUGUCGGCAAAAUUGUGUAAGUAGGCUUUGUACAUUGUAACUAACGAAAUGUCUUGACAAGAAUACAAAUAAAGUAACGUGGUGCAGAAGAUGGGCUUUAUGCAGCAGCAGAUCCCACACAUACUGGUGAGCAGAGAAGCCAGACAACACAUACAUGUGGGUGCUGUUACGGCAGACUGCAAGGAACAGGGUGAGGUGAAGGACAAGCUGACAUCUGAAUUCCUGUCCAAUCACAUCGCCAGCCCGGAUACAAGCAUAUCUGGUCAACGCUCCAUGGUAUGAAACUUCACCCACCAACCUCACCACUGUGACUGC